AACCAGCUUAAACCGUAGUAAACCACAGAAAACCGGAACCAAGCAAAACCCUAGCUCUAGCAACGUUUCAGCCGUUCCCUAGCAUCCGCUGUCGCCUUCUCUGGAGCUUGCUCACCGCCUUCAACAACGUGUAUCUCGAGCUCUCCCGGUCAGUUGUAACCACUCCGGUGGCAACCACAUGAAGGCGAUGGGGAGCGCGACCCAAAGAAGCCCCUGUGAACUUCGCCGGAGCCGUGAAGUUCGCCGGGGCAGACGACCUUCACCAGUCAAUCUUGAAUCUCCAUGCAUACCCUCCGUCGACCUCAGCGUAACUACAAGACGCGGUUUCCACCACUUCCACAAAGGUAUCAGAUCUGAGAAAAAGCCUCCUCCACCUGCCAUCCUCGAGCAGAUGCUAAGGAAGAUACACCAGAUCUGGAAUCCCGCUUCAGAGAGCAUCUUCCGAACCACCGCAGCUCCGUCGGUCUCCUCACCGCGCAUGGCCAGAAAGGAGAGAGAGUUUCCCGGUUAACAUGUAACCAGAAACGCCAUCAGCACCACCGAAAUAGAAGAAAACAAAGAGAAACAAAAGCCCUCUCACACCACCGGCGGUGAAGCUGAUGGCGGAGAGGCAAGCGGCGGAUGUAGUUUUAGAGAGAGGUUGGAGAAAAGUUUUUACAGAGAGAGGUAGGAGAAGUUUCUUUAGAGAGAGGUUGGAGAAAAGUGAGAGGGAGGUAGUUAUGAGCUGAGUUCAUUUGAUGUGAGAAAGAGCAAUCAGUAAUCUCAGAGAGCCAGAAAAUCAUGGCAAGCUCAAGCUCGACUCUUACGAGGGUACUAUGUUUCUUGAUUAGUUAGACGGACUUAGCUGAAGCUAUUGGUGCUUCCCUCCUUCAGUCAAUGGUGGGUACAUAUCUGACUUUGAUAUCUUUGUGAUCGGUACGUCUGCUAGAAAUUACAGACUUUCUCUUUAUGUUUUCCGACGAAACCAUCUCUUUUCUACAUGGUUGAUUGGGCAAGUAAAAUGUCGAAUAGUGCAGAAAGAAUAGGAAAAUAUGAAUAAUAUUUUAGUAAUUGCAAAUCCUCUUCUUCUUCUUUUUUCCUCUAUCUGCUUUCCAGCUUAUGACCUAGAGAUUAAAGCCGGUGCAUGUCUAAGGAUUACCAAGUGCAGUGAGUUCGAGUAUUGCCCAACUCCAAUGGAACAUGACAGACCUUCACCAGCAAUGGCUUCCAGGAAUUCAAAAGCGGACGCGUCUCUCUCACCACACGUGUUCUUUGAUGAUGUGGUUCCCGAAAUUUGCAUUGACACUGUGUCCGAUGUGGUGUAUAACCACGGCGAUAUUUCUGGAGGGGUUUCCUCGAGUCCAAAAUCCGAAUCAAAGGUUCAUGGAUUCAUAGAAAAGGUUCCAGCACGUGGUUGAUGCUAGUUGUGUGAACAAAUCACUGAAGAAUGUGGCUUUAAAGAAGGUUAUAACGUGAUCAUAUAAGAAGUGUGUCUGAGUUACUAUGAACCUUUGUUUGUUAUAAGUAGUUUAAAUUUGGGGAUUGGAAAAUUUAUUGUAUUUUGCGUGUGUGAAGCUGGAGUUGGUGUGGCAUGACUCAUAGCUGGAGUUGGUGUGGCAUGACUCAACCAAUGGCUCGAUCAAGACUAUGAAACUCAGUUAGAUGGCCCCAGUGGAAAUGAAUCAUCAUAUUUCUCUUGUGGAGUGUUUCUUAUACUGACCCUAGAAGUGAAUCAGAUGCCUUUUCUAGUCAAUGAUUACCGAACAAGUUUCAGAUCACUGAAUCGAUAGCUAUAUAUGUUUUUCCUACAAAUGUGUAUGUAUGCUUAAAUAGAACAGUUUCAGCUAGAAAUAAACUAAAUAAAUUUUGUUUUCAUUUUUUAAUCUGAGAUGUGUUACGGUCAGCGGUUGAUGAGACUUUAAGAAAACAAAACAAGUUGUUUGAAUGCCU